rnacentral:rRNA from 1 species
UACGGGAGGUGCGAGCGUUGUCCGGAAUCACUGGGCGUAAAGGGCGCGUAGGUGGCGCGGGAAGUCAACGGUGAAAGUUCGGGGCUCAACCCUGAAUCGGCCGUCGAUACUCCCGGGCUCGAGCACUGUAGAGGCAGAUGGAAUUCCGGGUGUAGCGGUGGAAUGCGUAGAGAUCCGGAAGAACACCGGGUGGCGAAGGCGGUCGCUGGGGCAGU